rnacentral:rRNA from 1 species
AACCGGAUUAGAUACCCCGCUAGUCCACGCAGUAAACUAUGAGUGCUUGGUAUCGGAAAUUUUCGGUGCCGGAGCUAACGCGUUAAGCACUCCGCCUGAGUACUACGAUCGCAAGAUUAAAACUUAAAGGAAUUGACGGGGACCCGCACAAGCGGUGGAGUAUGUGGUUUAAUUCGAUAAUCCGCGAAGAACCUUACCUACUCUUGACAUGCGGUGCUAAGGUCAACUAUAAAGUUGAAGUCAGGUUAAGCUGGGCAUCGUACAGGUGAUGCAUGGCUGUCGUCAGCUCGUGCUGUGAAGUGUUGGGUUAAGUCCCUUAACGAGCGCAACCCCUGCCUCUUUUUGCCAUCGGGUAAUGCCGGGAACUAUAGAGGGACUGCCAGCUAUAAGCUGGAGGAAGGGGGGGAUGAUGUCAAGUCAUCAUGUCCCUUAUGAGUAGGGCUACACAUGUACUACAAUGGUGAUAACAACGAGUCGCAACACUGCGAAGUGAAGCAAAUCUCUUAAAUAUCAUCCCAGUCCGGAUUGCUCUCUGCAACUCGAGAGCAUGAAGAUGAAAUCGCUAGUAAUCGCGGAUCAGCGUGCCGCGGUGAAUACGUUCCCGGGUCUUGUACACACUGCCCGUCACACUAUGAAAGUUGAUCUUGCUUGAAACUGGUGAGCUAACCCGCAAGGGAGGCAACCAUCUAGGGUGAGGUUGAUGAUUGAAGUUAAGUCGUAACAAGGUAACCGUAA